rnacentral:rRNA from 1 species
UACGAAGGGGGCUAGCGUUGGUCGGAAUUACUGGGCGUAAAGCGCACGUAGGCGGACUUUUAAGUCAGGGGUGAAAUCCCGGGGCUCAACCUCGGAACUGCCUUUGAUACUGGAAAGCUUGAGUUCGGGAGAGGUGAGUGGAACUGCGAGUGUAGAGGUGAAAUUCGUAGAUAUUCGCAAGAACACCAGUGGCGAAGGCGGCUCACUGGCCCGAUACUGACGCUGAGGUGCGAAAGCGUGGGGAGCAAACAGG